rnacentral:rRNA from 1 species
GAUGAACGCUAGCGGCAGGCCUAACACAUACAAGUCGAGGGGCAGCACAUAAAGUGGUUUACUACUUUUGGUGGCGACCGGCGGACGGGUGCGUAACGCGUAUGCAACCUGCCUCCAACAGGGGGAUAACGGAGAGAAAUUUCCACUAAUACCCCAUAAUAUCAGAAUCGGCAUCGGUUUUGGUUGAAAACUCCGGUGGUUGGAGAUGGGCAUGCGUUGUAUUAGAUAGUUGGUGAGGUAACGGCUCACCAAGUCAACGAUACAUAGGGGGACUGAGAGGUUAGCCACCCACACUGGUACUGAGACACGGACCAGACUCCUACGGGAGGCAGCAGUGAGGAAUAUUGGUCAAUGGGGGCAACCCUGAACCAGCCAUGCCGCGUGCAGGAAGACGGCUCUAUGAGUUGUAAACUGCUUUUACAAGGGGAUAAAUCGGUGUACGUGUACACCGUUGAAGGUACCUUGGGAAUAAGGAUCGGCUAACUCCGUGCCAGCAGCCGCGGUAA